UACGGGGGGGGCUAGCGUUGUUCGGAAUUACUGGGCGUAAAGAGCUCGUAGGCGGUCUGUUGCGUCUGCUGUGAAAACUCGGGGCUUAACCCCGAGCCUGCAGUGGAUACGGGCAGACUAGAGGUAGGUAGGGGAGAAUGGAAUUCCCGGUGUAGCGGUGAAAUGCGCAGAUAUCGGGAGGAACACCGGUGGCGAAGGCGGUUCUCUGGGCCUUACCUGACGCUGAGGAGCGAAAGCGUGGGGAGCGAACAGG
rnacentral:rRNA from 1 species